GUUUAGGAUCAUCAGAGUGUAAAAAGGAAACCAAGACCACUGAGAACUGACAUACAAGUAAAGUUUUCAACUUGUGUAAAUUAAACUGACGCUUUGAAAUGACAACAGCAAGUAGCAACUUGCCACUGGUCGACCAGUUACCUGGAUCCUGGUCCGAUACUUCCGAAUCCCCGUCAAUCCGGCCAGCUGAGGUGGUCGUACUUUCGACGAAUUUUUCUGCUUCUAUAAGGACGCGGAGGCAAACGAAGCACAACACUUUUUGCGUUGCGAACAAAAUGGCCGAAACAGAGCCCACACUGUACGAAUACUACCACAUACUUGGCGCAGGCGAAAAUUAAACGUCAUAAAGUCAAUCGGGCCAAUCGAGUAGAUCGAGCACUGCUAAAAUCGAGCAUUCGAGUAAGAUUUGAUUCCGCAUUCCGUUUAAAAGGUAAUGUGGGUCGGCGCUUCGAUCGGCCAGCAAUCGCUAUACGGGACUUGUAUGCAAACUUGGAUACAAUGGUGACUUACGCAUGCAAAGCUGUAUGCGAUGGUGAUUUUCAACGUAUUUUCAUUUAAAUGUUUACACAGGUUUUUUGGGAAUGUAUGUUCCAGCUUAUAUGUCUGUUCUCUGUGCCAAGACAGUGACCACUCUAAUACAAGAAUCGAUGGAUAUUUAUCUAAAUCUCGGUCAACAGCUAGAUUUGUAUCAUUGUAUCCGGAUUACACAGAACGAAGCAGGAAUAUGAUUCGGGCGAUCGUCCAACUUUACGAAGGUCCAUCAUACAGGGAAAUUUCCCUGGUUCACCUUAUUCCCCGGGGAAGAGGAAUAGCUAAAGUAUGAUAUGGUUCACACGUCAUUUAAGUUUUUGUCCCUAUUAUCCUUUGCAUGGAGAAGGUAGUGUGUGCCUAUUCGAUCUAGUACACGCCAGUGGAUCUAACCUACUAAGGCUUCCUGGUAGGGUGCCGAAGUCGGUCCGGCGAUUUCGGGUGGAGCGUUGCGUCCAGUUGUCUGGCACCUCGACGACCCGCAACUGGCGAUCACCAUAAUACAACGUCUUGAUAUUGAAGAUCCAUGAUUCAUUGCACAGAAAGGUAAAAAACUGGCUGGGAAUGCAUUGUAUCCGCAACAAUAAUCUGUUUGACGGUGAUGUUUGUGAUGAGAACAUUGUCAUAUUUCUACAGCGGCAAAAAUCAGUCAAUUUAUUCGUAGAUACUGUAGAGAAUAUUAUUACACUCGGUAAGAUUAAUUGUCAAAAAUGUAUAAUGAAAAAUUAAAAGGAAAUUAUAUACUUCAUUUAUAAGCAUUAACAUGGUUAUAAUUCCACAGUUUACUAUCUAUACAUGAUUCAA